GCGGGUAUGGUGGAAUGGUAUCACAUGAGCCUUCCAAGCUCUUGGUGCGGGUUCGAUUCCCGCUACCCGCUCCA
rnacentral:tRNA from 1 species